CUUUGUUGUGCAGAAGCUUUUAAUUUUAAUUAGAUCCCAUUUGUUUAUUUUUGCUUUUAUUUCCAGUAUUCUGGGAGGUGGAUCAUAGAGGAUCCUGCUGUGAUUUAUGUCUGAGAGUGUUUUGCCUAUGUUCUCCUCUAGGAGUUUUAUAGUUUCUGAUCUUACAUUUAGAUCUUUAAUCCAUUUUGAGUUAAUUUUUGUGUGCGGUGUUAGAAAGUGAUCUAGUUUCAUUCUUUUACAAGUGGUUGACCAGUUUUCCCAGCACCACUUGUUAAAGAGAUUGUCUUUACUCCAUUGUAUAUUCUUGCCUCCUUUGUCAAAGAUAAGGUGUCCAUAGGUGUGUGGAUUUAUGUCUGGGCUUUCUAUUUUGUUCCAUUGAUCUAUAUUUCUGUCUUUGUGCCAGUACCAUACUGUCUUGAUGACUGUGGC
ensembl:lncRNA